UACAGAGGGGCAAGCGUUAUUCGGAAUUAUUGGGCGUAAAGGGCGCGUAGGCGGUCCAUCAAGUCUCUCGUGAAAUCCCUCGGCUUAACUGAGGACGUGCGGGAGAUACUGCUGGGCUUGAGUCCGGAAGAGGGGUGGUGGAAUUCCCAGUGUAGCGGUGAAAUGCGUAGAUAUUGGGAGGAACGACCGGUGGCCGAAGGCGGCCACCUGGGCCGGAACUGGACGCUGAGGCGACGAAAGCGUGGGGAGCAAACGGG
rnacentral:rRNA from 1 species